CGAAGGAUCCAAGCGUUAUCCGGAUUCAUUGGGUUUAAAGGGUGCGUAGGCGGGUUUGUAAGUCAGUGGUGAAAGCCGGUCGCUCAACGAUCGAAUUGCCAUUGAUACUGCAGACCUAGAAUAUAGAUGACGUUGGCGGAAUAUGACAUGUAGCGGUGAAAUGCAUAGAUAUGUCAUAGAACACCGAUUGCGAAGGCAGCUGACGAAACUAUAAUUGACGCUGAUGCACGAAAGUGCGGGGAUCAAACAGGAUUAGAUGCCCUGGUAGUCCGCACAGUAAACGAUGAUAACUAGAUGUUUGCGAUAUACAGUAAGCGUCCAAGCGAAAGCGAUAAGUUAUCCACCUGGGGAGUACGCCGGCAACGGUG
rnacentral:rRNA from 1 species